rnacentral:rRNA from 1 species
GGCGCGUAGGUGGUUUGAUAAGGGUGUGGUGAAAGCCCGGGGCUCAACCCCGGGUCUGCCGUGCCGACUGUUAAACUCGAGGGCUGUAGAGGCAGACGGAAUUCCGGGUGUAGCGGUGGAAUGCGUAGAGAUCCGGAGGAAGACCGGUGGCGAAGGCGGUCUGCUGGGCAGUUUCUGACACUGAUGCGCGACAGCGUGGGGAGCAAACAGGAUUAGAUACCCUGGUAGUCCACGCCGUAAACGAUGGGUACUAGGUGCCUGGGGGGAGCGACCCCUCUGGGUGCCGGCGCUAACGCAGGAAGUACCCCGCCUGGGGGAGUACGACCGCAAGGUUGAAACUCAAAGGAAUUUGACGGGGGGCCGCACAAGC